rnacentral:rRNA from 1 species
UACGUAGGGUGCAAGCGUUGCCCGGAUUUAUUGGGCGUAAAGGGCGCGUAGGCGGCCUUCUAAGUCGAACGUGAAAUCCCCGGGCUCAACCCGGGAACUGCGUCCGAUACUGGAAGGCUUGAAUCCGGGAGAGGGAUGCGGAAUUCCAGGUGUAGCGGUGAAAUGCGUAGAUAUCUGGAGGAACACCGGUGGCGAAGGCGGCAUCCUGGACCGGUAUUGACGCUGAGGCGCGAAAGCCAGGGGAGCAAACGGG